ACUCCUACGGGAGGCAGCAGUGGGAAUCUUGGACAAUGGGGGCACCCGUAGCUCCAGCCAUGCCGCGUGAGUGAUGAAGGCCCUAGGGUCGUAAAGCUCUUUCGCCUGUGAAGAUAAUGACUGUAGCAGGUAAAGAAACCCGCGUAAUCCGUGCCAGCAGCCGCGGUAAUACGGAGGGGGUUAGCGUUGUUCGGAAUUACUGGGCGUAAAGCGCGCGUAGGCGGACUGGAAAGUUGGGGUGGAAUACC
rnacentral:rRNA from 1 species